CACCUGGUUGAUCUUGCCAGUAGUCAUAUGCUUGUCUAAAAGAUUAAGCCAUGCAAGUCUAAGUAUAUGCAUAUUUGAUAUGCAGAAACUGCGAACGGCUCAUUAAAACAGUUAUAAUCUACUUGACAUUCUACGCCCACAAAGAUCGCGCGUAAUAAGGAUAACUACGGAAAAUCUGUAGAUAAUACGAUGACGAAAGCGCUCGGAGUCAUAUAUACGCCAGUUGCAAGUAUUUGUUACCCCCGAUAAGAGAGAUUUGCCCGAACCAAGGAAUUAUUACAAAGAAGGAACACAUCAUGAAUUUUAAUUUGUGUAGUGUGUAUCAAUCGAGUAACUGACCUAUCAGCUGUCGAUGUUAGGGUAUUGGCUUAACAUGGCUAUGACGGGUAACGGGGAAUUAGAGUUCGAUUCCGGAGAGGGAGCCUGAGAAAUAGCUACCACAUCUAAGGACGGCAGCAGGCGCGUAAAUUACCCAAUUCUAAAGAAGAGAGGUAGUGACAAGAUAUUACAAUACAAGGCCAUUUCAUGGUUUUGUAAUUGGAUUGAGAGGAAUAUAAAAACUUCCUAAGAUAACCAUUGGAGGGCAAGUCUGGUGCCAGCAGCCGCGGUAAUUCCAGCUCCAAUAGCGUAUAUUAAAAUUGUUGCAGUUAAAACGCUCGUAGUUGAAUUUCAAAGAGUCAUGGCGUUUCUGAGGUGCUCCUUGGUCGAUCUGCCCAGCACUGACUCUAUGAUUUUAUUGUAGAGCAGUGUGACUGGGUGUUCGAUUUCAAGAAAGUGUCUCCUUUACAAAGUGAUUUUUCUAAGGGUCUCUUGAGUACCAGUCCUUGGGAGGUUCUUUUUACCUUGAGUAAAUUAGAGUGUUUAAAGCAAACAGAUAGAACAGUUUACUGUGUUUAAAUACUACAGCAUGGAAUAAUAAUAUCGAAUGAGCCGACGUACUUUUCGUUUCUUUGUUAUUUUGGCUUAGUUACGAUUAACAGGAAUAGUUGGGGGCAUUUGUAUUCAGAUGUCAGAGGUGAAAUUCUAAGAUUAUCUGGAGACGAACAAUUGCGAAAGCAUCUGUCUAACAUAUUUUCAUUAAUCAAGAACGAAAGUUAAGGGAGUGAAGACGAUCAGAUACCGUCGUAAUCUUAACCAUAAACUAUGCCAACUAUGUUUUGGAUGUAUGAGAAAAAGAUGGAAUACUUUGUUUUACGACAUUGUCAUUCCAUUUAUGCUUCAUUCAGUACCUUAGAGAAAUCAAAGUCUUUGGGUUCUGGGGCGAGUAUUCGCGCAAGCGAGAAAGUUAAAAGAAUUGACGGAAGGGCACCACCAGACGUGGAGCUUGCGGCUUAAUUUGACUCAACACGGGAAAACUCACUAGUAUAAGACAAGAGUAGGAUUGACAGAUUAAUAGCUCUUUCUUGAUUUCUUGGAUGGUGAUGCAUGGCCGUUUUUAGUUCGUGAAUAUGAUUUGUCUGGUUAAUUCCGAUAACGAACGAGACCUUAACCUGCUAGUUAGCGGCCGGUAUGUCGCGAAUUUAUCAAAAUCUUAUCUCGUAGGCUGGAUUAUUUUUAGAAGAUAUGACGGAUAACCGAGUCGAGUGUCGUCCCCAUCACUGUUCUAUUAAUUCGCAGUCUGUCCUGGUUUUUUUUUAGGUAAGUAUGUAUCCGCUUGAAUGUAAGCUUCUUAGAGGUACGAUGUGUGCUUAACACAAGGAAGUUUAAGGCAACAACAGGUCUGUAAUGUCCCUAGAUAUACUAGGCUGCACGCGUGCUACAAUGAUAUGUAUAACGAGUUAUUUAAAAUAUGGCUCUGUAAAUUUUAAUUUAUGUGUUACUGAGGAUAUGUGUGCUUGUGUAUGUCAAUCGACGAGUUACUAAAGGUAUGUGCGGGUAUAUAAAAUCACGAGUUAAUAAUAGUGUUUGCUUGUGCAUAUGCAAUGACAAGUCACUGUAGAUAUGUGAAUGUAAAUGUAAAUUGUAAAUUUAUCAAUGAUAUGUUCUUGUUCAUGUAAAAAUGACAAGUUACGAAGUAAGUAGGUGUUUAAUUGUUAAUAUAAGUUCUAAAGUUAAUAAUACUAAGUGUGCUUGUGCACGUAAAAAUGACAAGUAACAGAGUAAGUAGGUGUUUGAUUGUUAAUAUAAGUUUGAAAGUUAAUAAUACUGAGUGUGCUUGUGCACGUAAAAAUGACAAGUAACAGAGUAUGUAGAUGUGUGAUUGUUAAUAUAAGUUUGAAAGUUAAUAAUACUAAGUGUGCUUGUGCAUGUAAAAAUGGCAGGUUACUUAAUGGUAUGUGCUUGUGUCUAUCAAUUAAUGAGUUAUGAAUGGUAAAUGCUUGUGUAUAUAUAUUUAUAAAUAUAAAUUAAAUUUUUACAGAGUUCAUACUUUUUCCUCCACUGAAAAGUGUAGGUAAUCUAGUCAGAACAUAUCGUAAUUGGGAUAAAUUUCUGUAAUUAUGAAUUUUGAACGAGGAAUGCCUAGUAAGCAUGAUUCAUCAGAUUGUGCUGACUACGUCCCUGCCCUUUGUACACACCGCCCGUCGCUCCUACCGAUUGAAAGAUAUGACAAAUUGUUUGGACACGAAAUUGGGGAAUUAUAUUUCUCAGUUGGUGGAAAAACCGUAAAUCCUAUUUUUUAAAGGAAGGAGAAGUCGUAACAAGGUUUCCGUAGGUGAACCUGCGGAAGGAUCAUUA
rnacentral:rRNA from 1 species